rnacentral:rRNA from 1 species
UACGUAGGGUGCGAGCGUUGUCCGGAAUUAUUGGGCGUAAAGAGCUUGUAGGCGGUUUGUCGCGUCUGCUGUGAAAUCUCAAGGCUCAACCUUGAGCUUGCAGUGGGUACGGGCAGACUAGAGUGUGGUAGGGGAGACUGGAAUUCCUGGUGGUAGCGGUGAAAUGCGCAGAUAUCAGGAGGAACACCUGCGGUGUAGACGGCUUACUGGACCAUAACUGACGCUGAGGCACGAAAGCGUGGGUAGCAAACAGG